rnacentral:rRNA from 1 species
CUAUUAUGGAGAGUUUGAUCCUGGCUCAGGACGAACGCUGGCGGCGUGCCUAAUACAUGCAAGUCGAGCGGGUUUAUCCUUCGGGGUAAGCUAGCGGCGGACGGGUGAGUAACACGUAGGUAACCUGCCUUUAAGACUGGGAUAACUAUCGGAAACGAUAGCUAAGACCGGAUAACUGGUUUUCUCG